CAGCAGUGGGGAAUAUUGCUACAAUGGGGGAAACCCUGAUUGCAGCCAUGCCGCGUGUGUGAAGAAGGCCUUCGGGUUGUAAAGUCACUUUCAGUAGGGAGGAAGGUAGUGUAGUUAACACCUGCAUUAUUUGACGUUACCUACAGAAGAAGCACCGGCUAACUCCGUGCCAGCAGCCGCGGUAAUACGGAGGGUGCGAGCGUUAAUCGGAAUUACUGGGCGUAAAGCGCAUGCAGGCGGCCUGUUAAGUCAGAUGUGAAAGCCCGGGGCUUAACCUCGGAAUUGCAUUUGAAACUGGCAGGCUAGAGUCUUGUAGAGGGGGUAGAAGUUUCAGGUGUAGCGGUGAAAUGCGUAGAGAUCUGAAGGAAUACCAGUGGCGAAGGCGGCCCCCCUGGACAAAGACUGACGCUCAGAUGCGAAAGCGUGGGGAGCAAACAGGAUUAGAUACCCUGGUAG
rnacentral:rRNA from 1 species